rnacentral:pre_miRNA from 1 species
AUGGGUAGGUCGGAUCCUGGGCUGUGUCCCCUGCACCCUGUGCUCCCGGGCCUGCACUGUUUGAUUCGUUCUCCCGGCUGGGCACCCCCCG